rnacentral:rRNA from 1 species
UACGUAGGUGGCAAGCAUUAUCCGGAUUUAUUGGGCGUAAAGGGAACGCAGGCGGUCUUUUAAGUCUGAUGUGAAAGCCUUCGGCUUAACCGGAGUAGUGCAUUGGAAACUGGGAGACUUGAGUGCAGAAGAGGAGAGUGGAACUCCAUGUGUAGCGGUGAAAUGCGUAGAUAUAUGGAAGAACACCAGUGGCGAAAGCGGCUCUCUGGUCUGUAACUGACGCUGAGGUUCGAAAGCGUGGGUAGCAAACAGG